rnacentral:lncRNA from 1 species
UGAACACGGAGACUCAAAUAUCAGGCUGAUUACUAGUUGCAAUUGGAGCUUUCAUAUUGGCAGAACUAGAAGAUUUUUCCUUCCUUUGGUGAGAACAGACCAAGUUGGCAGGCAGAGGCCAGGACCACAACAUCAAUACACAUCAGCAGUGAAAGGAUGUGGAGGAGUGGAUGAAUGCCAACAUUUCCAGAGUACCACCCACCAGUAGGAGGAUGCAAGGCAUAUGUGGGCCUCAUCCAAUCAGUUGAAAGCCUUAAUAGAAGAAGACUGAUCUCUUUCAGAAGAAGCAGGAAUUCUGUCUGCAGACAGCCUUUGGACCACAAGAUCAACUCUCCUCUAGCUCUCCAGCCUGAUGGCCUACCCUACUGAUUUUGGACUUGCCAGCUUUCACUAUCACAUGAAAUCAAUUCCCUAAAAUAAAUCUCUCUUAAAAUAAAUCUCUUAAAACAAGUCUCUCCUCUCUCUUUCUUUCUCUCUGUCUCUGUCUCUGUCUCUCUCUCUCUCUGUCUAUAUAUAAACAUAUGUCUAUAU